CAGGUUAAACUGUUUUUAGUUUUUUUAUCCACAAAACACAAUUGUCAUUUCUUUCUUCAUCUUACUUUACUGUAGUUUUACAGACUUUAAAAGCAGACGUGUGUAAAUGACAAAAAAUCAUCCAGCUCUGUAUCUUUGAAUAUUUCUGAAGUUAGUGUGUUUUGUGUUUUUACCUGUUAUAUGUAUAUUUUUGUCUUUCAGUCAUUUGAACAAAUGCAGUCUCAUGAUACUGCCCAAAAUAAUGGGUGCAGCGUCACCAAAAUGCUG
rnacentral:misc_RNA from 1 species